AUUGAACGCUGGCGGCAGGCCUAACACAUGCAAGUCGAACGAGUGGCGGACGGGUGAGUAAUGUCUGGGAAACUGUCCGAUGGAGGGGGAUAACUACUGGAAACGGUAGCUAAUACCGCAUACCAUCGGAUGUGCCCAGCUGGGAUUAGCUAGUAGGUGGGGUAACGGCUAACGUAGGCGACGAUCCCUAGCUGGUCUGAGAGGAUGACCAGCCACACUGGAACUGAGACACGGUCCAGACUCCUACGGGAGGCAGCAGUGGGGAAUAUUGCACAAUGGGCGCAAGCCUGAUGCAGCCAUGCCGCGUGUAUGAAGAAGGCCUUCGGGUUGUAAAGUACUUUCAUCGAGGAGGCGUUACUCGCAGAAGAAGCACCGGCUAACUCCGUGCCAGCAGCCGCGGUAAUAC
rnacentral:rRNA from 1 species